rnacentral:rRNA from 1 species
AUUGAACGCUGGCGGCAGGCCUAACACAUGCAAGUCGAGCGGAUGAAGGGAGCUUUCUCCUGGAUUCAGCGGCGGACGGGUGAGUAAUGCCUAGGAAUCUGCCUGGUAGUGGGGGAUAACGUCCGGAAACGGGCGCUAAUACCGCAUACGUCCUGAGUGAGAAAGUGGGGGAUCUUCGGACCUCACGCUCUCAGAUGAGCCUAGGUCGGAUUAGCUAGUUGGUGGGGUAAAGGCCUACCAAGGCGACGAUCCGUAACUGGUCUGAGAGGAUGAUCAGUCACACUGGAACUGAGACACGGUCCAGACUCCUACGGGAGGCAGCAGUGGGGAAUAUUGGACAAUGGGCGAAAGCCUGAUCCAGCCAUGCCGCGUGUGUGAAGAAGGUCUUCGGAUUGUAAAGCACUUUAAGUUGGGAGGAAGGGCAGUAAGUUAAUACCUUGCUGUUUUGACGUUACCAACAGAAUAAGCACCGGCUAACUUCGUG